CUACUAUAUGAAGCGACUCUGGACACGACCGAUCACACUAAAAAAUUUCCCUGCCUUACCUUACGGGAAGUUCAAAGUGUACAUGAAGGGUGUGAAGGACGGCAAAAGACAAGUUUGUGCCCAGAUGAUCGUCGAUAUCUAUGAAGUCGGAAUUUUCCGAGCUCUGGGGUACAUUCCAACUUUAGCAGGUCCAGUAUGGGGCCGAAGCUGAUCGACACGCACUUCAGCGACGUGUGUGCUUAGGUUGUGGCCUCGCGUAGCGUCUUAUUUACAGCUGAAGUAAGGAACUGCAGUGUAUUCACUUUAUAAUAAAUAAAAGUUGAUAGUGUUCAUUGAUUUCAGUGCUGCUCCAACCCCGUAGCCCACGAUAUUUCAAGUGGAAGUCAGUGAAAUAU